GACGAACGCUGACGGUGUGCUUUAGACAUGCAAGUCGAACGAGAAAGCCCUUCGGGGUUAGUAAGUGGCGAACGGGUGAGUAACACGUGGGCAAUCUGCCCCUCCGCAGGGGGACGAACCGGAGGAAACUCCGGCUAAUACCCCGUAAGUUCAAAGGGAGGCAUCUCUCUUCGAAGAAAGGUAGCUUCGGCCAUCCGGCGAGGGAUGAGCCCGCGGUGCAUUAGCUAGUUGGUGGGGUAACGGCCUACCAAGGCGACGAUGCAUAGCUGGUCUGAGAGGAUGAUCAGCCACACUGGGACUGAGACACGGCCCAGACUCCUACGGGAGGCAGCAGUC
rnacentral:rRNA from 1 species